rnacentral:lncRNA from 1 species
GGAAUCCAGGGCAUUAGGGAGCCAGGAGGCACACUGGAUGUCCCAAAAGGGCUUAGAGGCCCAGGACCCCAGGAACCACCUCUCAUGGUGGAUAGUUGAACUCUUCCCCAACAACACCCUACAGUGCCUGGUGGUUCCCACCUGACCCCACCGUGUCCAAGGCUGGGGGCUGGGCAGGUGCAUCCCAGCCCAGCUCAGGCAGAUGUGUGUGAUGUGUUCACUGCGCUGCAGCUGUCCACCCAGCACUUCUGGCCAACUCGACUCAUGUGGCAGUGGUUCUGCUGCACCACCGAAGUAGGGGCAUCCCCACCCCCACCCCAGCAGGGGUCAGUCUCCACACAGAAUUACAGACCCAGGAAGACAUCCUGAAACCUGGGGAGGAAAGUUUGCAGGGGGUGGCUCUUGGAUCCCUCAUCCAGUACCUGAGGCCACCAAGAGAGCCUUGGACCUCUCUGCCUGUCCUGCUGCGAUUCCACAUGCGCACCCGUGCCCAAAGGGCUAAGAGAAGCAGUUGGGCCCCCGCAUGCGGCUCUGGAACCGCAAGUGCCCCCUCCCUGAGCACAGCCCCGACCCGGGCCAGGAGCAGCGGCGCCCCCGCGCGUCUACCCGCCCCAGCCCUGCGUCUGCAGCAACAGGAGCGGCACCUACUGUGCUUCUGCGGGGCGGCUCCCGCGUCCAUUGUCUCCGCGUUGACAGCAGCGAGGUGGCCACGAGGGCGCGGACUCGGGUUGUCAGUGGCCUGGCUCUGAGGCUAAGGCUCCGAGGACAUCGCUUCGCCAGGGCUGGCGGCCCGCGGCGGACUGUGCGCGCAGCGCGUUCGGCGCUGUGACACUGAGCCCCGUGGAGGCGCCGCGCGAGGAGCGCGCUGUCACUCGUGCCGCCCGCACCACACCCCCUGCCCGCCCCGCUCUGGGAGGGGGCCGGGGGCCCCCGGCUGCGCUGCGCAUAGAGCGGGGCGCGACGUGGAACCGCGGGCAAGCGCAACGUGCAGAGACUGGGAGCGGAGAGGACAGCGGAGCCAGCACCCGCCCCGCGCCCGCCGCAACCAAAGUACUCUUUCUGCAAAGAUGCACCCGCAGCCUCCCCCCUCGCCUCUGCGUGGCCGGAGCCUCGGACCAGGAGGGGGCGGGGCCGAGAGCACUUCUCACAUCUCGAGGCUGCUCCACGCAGCCAAAGCAAAAAGCUGAGCGGGGAGGUCAUUGCUCUCCGCCCCCAGGUGCUUGAAGAGGGUCUAGAUCACCUCUCCCCGGGACCCAGAUAUCAGAGAGCACAUGCAUAGCGCUGAAAGUCCCAUAACCAGGGGAAAAAGGUAAUAGCCCAGCCCCAAGAGCUGGAUAGGAGUAUCAUCCCUUAGCUCCCUUCAGGAGAAGUGUUUCUGGGUCAGAGUGGGAUGGGGCUUGGUGCUGCUGUCUUGGAAACCACCAUUCGGGCCUGGAGAGAGGACCAGGGUAGGAGAUGCAAGUAAAGUCCUGGCUCCUCUCUGACUCUCUGACCAGCCCCUGGCUUCCCACAGAGCCCCUUCCUGCUUUACCAGGUCCCCCGAGGGUGUCAUAGACCAUCUUGGCACCUCCUUGCCAAGUUAGGCUUCUCAGCAGCCCCUAGCUCUGCUCCAUCCCACUGUCUGUAAGCAGGCAGGGUUGGAGAGGCAGAGGGGAAAAGGCAGGAGAAAAUGUCUCACUCACUCCUGUGUCUGUAGAGUCCUCGGCCCCCUCCUGGGUAUGCUUUGCCUUUGAGGAGCAGUUUUCUCUUCAGCCCAUCUUAACAACUAUGGCCCGGAUAGGGUCCCAUCGUGCCAGCCAGCCACUCCAGCCCCAGACCGCUGAGAAUCUAAGCACUUGCUCUGUAGUGUGUACAAUACUCUAUACUGUGCGCUUCCACACCGAGUGGGUUCCUGGACCCUAUGCUUUGUGGUCUGACCUGGGGAGUUCAAAAUGGGGUGGGAGAUCUUAGCCAGACCAAGGAGAAGGUAUAAGCAAUGAGGAGACUAGAACUCUGAAUGCCACCCAGCAGAAGGAAGACUGAAUCUGAGGCGAGGCCCCUCUCAGCAUUCUGGGAGCAGGUUUCUAAGUCAGGAGGACUUAGAAAGGUGCCUCAUAUAUGGAAAGGUGUGUCCUUUGAGACCAGUGCUUCCUGUUCUUUUUGUCCCAGGGCAUGUCUUCUCCACUCAGGGACCUUGGUCUAAUGACUUAAGGGUUCAUGUCCCAGCUCCUACAGACCCAUGAGACCUCAGUACCUCCUCUCCAGUCUCAGUUUCCCCUGAUGCAGACUCACUGGUCUUUACAGAUCCUUGACUCUCCUCAAGCCACCCAUUGAUUCCUUAGCUCUACCACAGAUCCUGUGACCAAAGCUGACUCAUGAGAGAUGACACAUCCAUCACACUUACGGGGCAGCUGAACUCCAAGGUGCUCUGCUCUCUAGGCUCUCUUGCGCGCGUACACACACACACCAUAGCUGUUGAAGCUCUAUUAGGCAUACCUUCUGGGAUGCCUCAUCUGGCUAAGGAUGCCUGUGCUCAGACUGCCCAGGUAAGUAGCACCAGGCAUUCCUACCACAGCCACAAACCCUUGACAAUAUCAUCAUCAUCAUCAUCAUCAUCAUCAUCAUCAUCAUCAUCAUGCAAUAGCCAACUAGAGCUAUUCUCCAAGAUCCAUGGCUUCCUGAGCCACGCUGUGGAGCAGUUAUCAGAAUUCCUUCCCAGGGGCCUGUGGUACCAACUCUGUACUCCACCUGCCAUGACCUCACAGGCACACAUAUUCCCUCAGACUUCACCUGGCUUCCUUUUCUGUAAUGCAAACUCCAGGAACUUCUCUGUACUCCCACUUCCCAGGCCAGAAGCACACCUUCCGCUCCCACCCUGACAGCAUGAGCUUUCCCAGGACACCAGGAGACCAUAAGAGAUUAACGAAGCAUGCGUGAAUAGCUGCACAGAGUGGGUAAACACUGUGCUGCUCUUGAAAAGGACCUGAGUUCCAUUCUCAGACCCACAUUAGACAGCUCUGAAAGCCUGUACUGGUACCUCCAGGGAAUUGUACAUCUCCUUCUAGCCCCACAGGUACUUGCACUCAUGUGAACACAUACACAACUAAAAAUAAAAUCUUUAAAG